AAUUUACAUAGUAUAAAAAUUAUACUUGACUUCCAAUCAAGAGAUCUACCUAAAUAGUGUAAAU
rnacentral:tRNA from 1 species